CCUACGGGAGGCAGCAGUGAGGAAUAUUGGUCAAUGGGCUUACGCCUGAACCAGCCAAGUCGCGUGAGGGAAGACUGCCCUAUGGGUUGUAAACCUCUUUUGUCAGGGAGCAAUUGGCGCUACGUGUAGCGUUAUCGAGAGUACCUGAAGAAAAAGCAUCGGCUAACUCCGUGCCAGCAGCCGCGGUAAUACGGAGGAUGCGAGCGUUAUCCGGAUUUAUUGGGUUUAAAGGGUGCGUAGGCGGUCCGUUAAGUCAGCGGUAAAAUUGCGGGGCUCAACCCCGUCGAGCCGUUGAAACUGGCAGA
rnacentral:rRNA from 1 species